CGACGACGGGUAGCCGGCCUGAGAGGGCGACCGGCCACACUGGGACUGAGACACGGCCCAGACUCCUACGGGAGGCAGCAGUGGGGAAUAUUGCACAAUGGGCGAAAGCCUGAUGCAGCGACGCCGCGUGAGGGAUGAAGGCCUUCGGGUUGUAAACCUCUUUCAGCAGGGAAGAAGCGCAAGUGACGGUACCUGCAGAAGAAGCGCCGGCUAACUACGUGCCAGCAGCCGCGGUAAUACGUAGGGCGCAAGCGUUGUCCGGAAUUAUUGGGCGUAAAGAGCUCGUAGGCGGUUUGUCGCGUCUGGUGUGAAAACUCGAGGCUCAACCUCGAGCUUGCAUCGGGUACGGGCAGACUAGAGUGCGGUAGGGGAGACUGGAAUUCCUGGUGUAGCGGUGGAAUGCGCAGAUAUCAGGAGGAACACCGAUGGCGAAGGCAGGUCUCUGGGCCGCAACUGACGCUGAGGAGCGAAAGCAUGGGGAGCGAACAGGAUUAGAUACCCUGGUAGUCCAUGCCGUAAACGUUGGGCACUAGGUGUGGGGCUCAUUCCACGAGUUCCGUGCCGCAGCAAACGCAUUAAGUGCCCCGCCUGGGGAGUACGGCCGCAAGGCUAAAACUCAAAGGAAUUGACGGGGGCCCGCACAAGCGGCGGAGCAUGCGGAUUAAUUCGAUGCAACGCGAAGAACCUUACCAAGGCUUGACAUGCACGAGAAGCCACCAGAGAUGGUGGUCUCUUUGGACACUCGUGCACAGGUGGUGCAUGGUUGUCGUCAGCUCGUGUCGUGAGAUGUUGGGUUAAGUCCCGCAACGAGCGCAACCCUCGUCCCAUGUUGCCAGCGGGUUAUGCCGGGGACUCAUGGGAGACUGCCGGGGUCAACUCGGAGGAAGGUGGGGAUGACGUCAAAUCAUCAUGCCCCUUAUGU
rnacentral:rRNA from 1 species